rnacentral:pre_miRNA from 1 species
UUUGUACUCCCUACGUCCAACAAUAGAUGUCUCAAGUUUGUCAAAAUUUGGAUGUAUCUAAACAUGACUUAGCAUAUAGAUGUAUUCAAAUUUAAUUAAAGUUAAGACAUCCUUUGUUGGACGGUGGAAUAUGUA